rnacentral:tRNA from 1 species
AGGCCAGUAGCUCAACUUGGCAGAGCAUCGCUCUCCAAAAGCGAGGGUUGCGGGUUCAAGUCCUGCCUGGCCUG